GUUCUGGAGAAAUCUCCUUCUUUUCCACUCACUCACGCUUCUCACUCUCUUUCUCUCACCCGACUCCAUCUCUUCACCUCAACCUCCCUCUCUUCCUCACUCUAUCGCCACGCCUCGUCGCGCCGCCUAGCACCGCGCUGCUGCUCCCUCACCUCCCUUCUCCGUUGGUUGCUGCGGGUGUUGUGGUUGUUGUUGAUAAUCGUGCUACUCUUCCCCUCUCCUCUCGGUCUUGCUCCAUGCUACCGCCGCCGAUGGUGGUCGUUGAAUUUCAAUCAGUAAUACUCCCUCAUCAAUUGGUAAUUACUUGAGUUCUUUUGUUGUUGAUUGAUUAGUUCUUGAUUUAAGAACCUGAAACCCUAACUUAUUCAUUUUCUUUCUCCUCGUGGGUGCGCCACCCCUUCUGGUUGCCGGCGUGACGAUGUUCCAUCGUCGCCGACGUUUGUCCUGCUCGUUGCGGUUGUUGUUAUCAUUGGUUGUCGGGCUGAUUGUUUUUUGCUCUCUCCUCUUUUCGUUCCUCUGCUCUGCCUCCUCUCCUCCUCGCCGGAGCACCGCCCUCCGUGACUACUGGAGUUGGUCAUGUUAUUGGGGUCGAUCUUGUUAUUGUUGAUGUUGUUGAUUCCCUUCUCGCUUUCCUAUUUCACAUGAGGGUAUGAUUUUAUCCCAAAUUAUGGUUUAUCUAUUUUUUAAUAUAAUCAUUUAAUUGUAAUAGUUUAUAAAACUUUGAAUAUUACUUUUAUAACGUAGAAAUUAUUUUAGAAAUUUUAACUUUGUGAUUAAGCAAUUCAAAGUUAUUAUUUCUCAUUUUUAAAAGAUUUCCUAAAUAAGAGUAUACUUUAAGAUCAUAGUUUGAUAUAAAUUGAUUCGAUGAUAUUUAUAAAGCUUAUAAAUAAAUUGUUAUCGUAUUAUACAAUAUGAAUUCUUGCUUAGCAAAUCCUAUUUGGCUUUUCUAAAACAAUGUGUUCCACGUUGAUUUGAAAAUGAAUUUCUAAAACUAAUUAAAGAGAUUUCUAGAAGGAAUUCAAUUAAGUUUAUGGAAAGCUUAGAGUGAAACAAGAAUGCUUUGUUGGAAAUAUUUCUAAGAGAAUUGAGUUUAGUUCUGAUUCGAUUUAAGUGAAUAUUCUAUUGACUGAUAUUUUUAUUUGUUGAGGUGAAUUUGUUGGAGAAUAGAACAUCCAAAUUUUCGCUAAGAAUUCACUCAAGGAAAUGCAGGAAAUACAGGUAAUGACGACUGAUUUUGGGUUCACGUGAAGUAAAGUUGGGAACUUAGUUAUAGUGUACUUUUGUGGAAGAGUUUAAUAAUUGUGUAUAAGUUAUUUAAAUUAUUUUAGUUAUGUAGUAUGAAUAGUACUUAGCUUUACAUCUACUUUAUUAGUAGGGGUAGCAGUAACACCCUGAUGGUGUAUAGGGAAAUUUUAUUUGUUGGAAUGAUGUAAUUGAAGCAGGUUGAAGAAAUUAUGACGUAAUUCCCUAAAUAAUAUUUUAGGUUGUCCA